rnacentral:lncRNA from 1 species
UGUUGUUGUUGUCUUUUUGCCUUUUCUAGGGCCGUACCCGCGGCAUAUGGAGGUUCCCAGGCGAGGGGUCUAAUCAGAGCUGUAGCCGCCAGCCUACGCCAGAGCCAGCACAACGGGAUCCAAGACGCAUCUGCUACUUACACCACAGCUCACGGCAACUCUGGAUCCUUAGCCCACUGAGCAAGGCCAGGGAAUGAACCCGCAACCUCAUGGUUACUAGUUGGAUUCCAUUGGAAAAUAGGAUUGUGACACUGAAAACUGUUUACUGCCCCAGCAACCACGCAGGCCCCAAUGCUCUGGAGUAGAAAGCAAAGACACUGCGUUACCUCAAUUGCCUGCAGCUGGAACCUCUUCCAGGCUAAACAAGGUGCAGACACAGAACAGGACCUCAAGCAGCUUCUUUUGAGUGAAGCAAGCUGAUUUGUGAUUAGUAAUAAAAAACUGUUAUCUUGCUCCACUCUAUAGAGAGGCGUGAAGGGUGGUGUUCCCUUUCUGGUCACCUGGCUAAUAAUAAGUGCUGAGAACCACAGAAAUCAGGGGCCAGAUCAUAGCCAGGCAGGUGCAUCACUUUCUUUCCUGGUUUUCACUUGAAGUCCUUGUUGGGUUUUUGAUGUUAAACAAGAUUUGACUCAAAACACUGAGAAAUGCUGCUCUUUUUCAGAGCCAGUGUUUUGAAAUUAAUUUUAUUCCUCCACAAGACAAUUGUGAGGCAAAUAGGAAUAUUAUUCCAUGUGUUAUAUCUGAUGUGGACAGCGAAGCAUAACCCUUUGAUUUAGCAGUUUCUGCAUUCUUCUCUCCACAUCCUGCUUCUGUGUGAAGCUUAGCACUGAACCUAAGUCACUAGAUCAGGUUUUGCUUUGCUUUUUUUUUAGAUGUACACCAAAAAUGAAAAUAAUCAAAGGUUUCAAAGUACAAGAUCUUGCAUCCUCUGUUUUUAGGAUUGUCAGAUGAGAGGAGGCUCAAUCUCAGCUCCUUCCUCCACUUACCAAGUUAUUAUCGAGCCACUACCCAAACUCCAGAGACUUCUCUGUAAAGAUGGACCUACCACCACCUUCCUCUCAAGGCUGUUCUGAGAUUUAGAAAUUAGGUAUUAUGUAAAGUGCCUGGCUGAUGAUAUUAUUCUUGUUAUCACUGCCAAAACUACUAAAGCCUAAUAAAAAUCAUGUGCUUAAAAGAUCAUUGUUCUGUGAUGAAUGAAU